AUGAAAUACUGUGUUGUCCAUUAGUGCAAUAAUUCUAUUCAUAAAGAGAAAAAGACAGGAAAGCAUGUGGCUUUAUUUGCAUAAGUCUCACUCAUGUUACAUUACAACAAUAACUUAUUAAAUGGUUAAUUUUUAAAUAAAAUUUCCAAAAAAUCUGGAACAUCGUACAAAAUGGGUGAAAGCAUUGAAAAAUAUGGCCAUAAAAACAAAUAGCACUGUAUGUCAAGAACAUUUUAAUGAAACCUGUAUGUACAAAACUGGAUUGUCAUCAUUACGUUUGUACGAAGGAUCUGUACCAUCUAUAUUUCCACAUGUUUCUAAUUUAAGCAUAACAAAGUAUACACUGUAACGAAAACAAUAAUGCAUCUUCUGAAGUAUUGAUGGAAGAUGAAUCAACAAUUGGUUCUCAUCAAGGACAAACACAAGAUGAUAUGACAUAUUCAACAAAAACCAAUACUGUGGCGUCAAGUGAUAAAUGUUUAAUAAGAUAUCCAGGAGAUAUUACAACUGAAAAAGUGGCAAACAUGUCGUCAAGUAGUUUAAGGAAGUUUAAUUAUUAAAUUAUUAAAAAAGAUUACUUGCGAAACAUGCCUUUAUCUUUUUAACGAAUGUACAGUUAUAAAGUCUACAUUCAUAGAAAGAAAAAGCUGUGGAUAUUUACAUUAUCCACGAGAAGAUACAUAUAAACUCAUUGUUGCCGCUGAUAAAGUUUUUAAUUUUUAUAAAUUACAGAAUAAUUUGUAUAAGAAAAAUGCAUGCCAAGAAAUAAUUAUAUAAACAAUACGUAAUAUUGAUAUGGAUAAGAAUGUUAUAUACAGAUUCUUAUGAAUUAUGAAGGGAAAUUAAUGAGCCAAAAUAUUGAGUACAUCAGACAUCAGUUUACAAAAAUUAUUUUAUUCAAAGGAAUGAAAAGUGCGAUGAUAGUUCUAAUAAUGGCCGUGUUUGGCACUGGCGGCGCUGCAGAUGUUUAUAGAUGCCCAAAGUCAUUGCUAGCAGUCCAUAGUUAUAUAGUCAAAGGCCAGCACAGAACCACGCAAGAAAAAUAGCACUGGUUCUAUUAUGAAAAUCCAGCAGAGCAGCCAGCAGUGUAGCCAGCAGAAGAGCUAUUUCCAGCAAGAUAGCCAGCAAGAUUUUAUUCUCGGGACCGAAGAUUUAGAUGGAUCUAUUUUGAAAACAGCCAGGUCGAGCGUACCUGGAUUAUAAUAACUCUUCAACAAACGUCUAAAUUGAAUCCGCCGUCCGGCUCUUCUUGUUCUUUUCGGCAUGAGAGAUUUUUAGCACAACACUCUUAAGGUAAAGAAAAGAAGAACGGUGCUCGUGGUUCAAGCACGGCGUUCUGGAAAAAAAGAAUGAAGAUGAUAAGAGGGAAGAGAGGCUCAAGACCCCUUGGCAAUCGGCUAACAAGAGGCUCAGCGAUAGAUUGUCUGAUGGCUAGUUGGAGGCUAAUAAGAGACUGGUUAGAGACUGACGAGAGACUGCCUAGAGACUGACUAGCGCGCGAAGGGCCGAGCCCUUUUUAUACCCAAGCCCGACACUAUGGAUAUCAAUUGAGCGUCUUUUCCUAAUUCACCCUUCAUUAUUUAUUGGUUAAAAAAUAUAAAAAUGUUAUUAUCUAGUAAUUAAAAUUAUACUUAAUCAUAUGUAGCGUUUGGUAAUUCAGUUGUCUCGUUGUUGGCUGAUUUAUUAAUAAAAUUAUGUUUUACUAAGAAAUGGAAAUGUUGUUAUUGA